rnacentral:rRNA from 1 species
CCUACGGGGGGCUGCAGUAGGGAAUAUUGGACAAUGGGCGAAAGCCUGAUCCAGCAAUGCCGCGUGAGUGACGAAGGAUUUCGGUCUGUAAAGCUCUUUUGUGAGGGAAGAAAUGACGUGUGAGGAAAUGCUCGCGUCUUGACGGUACCUCAUGAAUAAGGGACGGCUAACUCCGUGCCAGCAGCCGCGGUAAUACGGAGGUCCCAAGCGUUGUUCGGAAUUACUGGGCGUAAAGGGAGCGCAGGCGGAUAGUUAAGUCUAAAGUGGAAGCCCGG